rnacentral:rRNA from 1 species
GACUACCGGGGUAUCUAAGCCUGUUUGCUCCCCACGCUUUCGCUUCUCAGCGUCAGGAAAUGUCCAGAGAACCGCCUUCGCCACUGGUGUUCCUCCUGAUAUCUGCGCAUUCCACCGCUCCACCAGGAAUUCCGUUCUCCCCUACAUCCCUCAAGUCCGCCCGUAUCGAAAGCAGGCUCGGGGUUAAGCCCCGAGUUUUCACUUCCGACGCAACGGACCGCCUACAGGCACGUAGUUAGCCGGUGCUUCUUCUGCAGGUACCGUCAGAAACCCUUCGUCCCUGCUGAAAGCGGUUUACAACCCGAAGGCCGUCAUCCCGCACGCGGCGUUGCUGCGUCAGGCUUUCGCCCAUUGCGCAAUAUUCCCCACUGCAGCCUCCCGUAGG